GUUAAGCGACUAAGCGUACACGGUGGAUGCCCUGGCAGUCAGAGGCGAUGAAGGACGUGCUAAUCUGCGAUAAGCGUCGGUGAGGUGAUAUGAACCGUUAUAACCGGCGAUUUCCGAAUGGGGAAACCCAGUGUGUUUCGACACACUAUCAUUAACUGAAUCCAUAGGUUAAUGAGGCGAACCGGGGGAACUGAAACAUCUAAGUACCCCGAGGAAAAGAAAUCAACCGAGAUUCCCCCAGUAGCGGCGAGCGAACGGGGAGGAGCCCAGAGCCUGAAUCAGUGUGUGUGUUAGUGGAAGCGUCUGGAAAGGCGCGCGAUACAGGGUGACAGCCCCGUACACAAAAAUGCACAUAUUGUGAGCUCGAUGAGUAGGGCGGGACACGUGGUAUCCUGUCUGAAUAUGGGGGGACCAUC
rnacentral:rRNA from 1 species